CUAUACAUGCCNAGCUCGAACGGAUAGCACAGGAGAGCUUGCUCUCGGGUGACGAGNUGGCGGACGGNAGAGUAAUGUCUGGGAAACUGCCUGAUGGAGGGGGAUAACUACUGGAAACGGUAGCUAAUACCGCAUAACGUCGCAAGACCAAAGAGGGGGACCUUCGGGCCUCUUGCCAUCAGAUGUGCCCAGAUGGGAUUAGCUAGUAGGUGGGGUAACGGCUCACCUAGGCGACGAUCCCUAGCUGGUCUGAGAGGAUGACCAGCCACACUGGAACUGAGACACGGUCCAGACUCCUACGGGAGGCAGCAGUGGGGAAUAUUGCACAAUGGGCGCAAGCCUGAUGCAGCCAUGCCGCGUGUAUGAAGAAGGCCUUCGGGUUGUAAAGUACUUUCAGCGGGGAGGAAGGUGUUGUGGUUAAUAACCACAGCAAUUGACGUUACCCGCAGAAGAAGCACCGGCUAACUCCGUGCCAGCAGCCGCGGUAAUACGGAGGGUGCAAGCGUUAAUCGGAAUUACUGGGCGUAAAGCGCACGCAGGCGGUCUGUCAAGUCGGAUGUGAAAUCCCCGGGCUCAACCUGGGAACUGCAUUCGAAACUGGCAGGCUAGAGUCUUGUAGAGGGGGGUAGAAUUCCAGGUG
rnacentral:rRNA from 1 species